GUAGGUACAGAAAUUAAUUGUGUUAUU
rnacentral:piRNA from 1 species